rnacentral:SRP_RNA from 1 species
GGGAAGUCGGCGGUAGGCGCUCGUAUCGCCAACCCGGCCAGGGCCGAAAGGCAGCAACCGUAACGAAUUCGACGGGUUAUUGUCCGGCUUCCCACU